rnacentral:rRNA from 1 species
CAGCAGCCGCGGGAAUACGUAGGUGGCAAGCGUUGUCCGGAAUUAUUGGGCGUAAAGGGCUCGCAGGCGGUUUCUUAAGUCUGAUGUGAAAGCCCCCGGCUCAACCGGGGAGGGUCAUUGGAAACUAGGAAACUUGAGUGCAGAAGAGGAGAGUGGAAUUCCACGUGUAGCGGUGAAAUGCGUAGAGAUGUGGAGGAACACCAGUGGCGAAGGCGACUCUCUGGUCUGUAACUGACGCUGAGGAGCGAAAGCGUGGGGAGCGAACAGGAUUAGAUACCCCUGUAGUCCCUGUCUCUUAUAC